AAUUUUCGGAAAAAUCGCGAAUAUUACGAAGCUGUGAUACGCGUAUAACAGAACUCCGCUCCGAAUCGUUUUUCGUUCGCAACGGUUAAUCGUUGAUAUUGAUAUUAUGCAUCGAGUGUUCGGGUGUUCCCCUCUAUAUCCUAACUUUUCAACUUCUCACCGACAACGGUAGCCGCACACAUCGUGCGAAGUAUGUCCGUUUUUUUUUCUUAUUACAAUGUAGAUAGGUACUUUAUACUUCGGGGCAGUGGCGUGCCGCGGUAAGUUUUUUUUUUUUUUUUGAGGCGAUCGCCUCGUGACUAAAACGGGUGGAUAAAUUUGGGUCAACAAAUAAUACGUUAAAUGUCGAUUACGUAUAACUACUUCGGUGAUCAAAGAUGCCCUAAUAGUUUUGUCCAUUAUAUCAUUUAUAUUAUUCAUGUCGACUGCAUGCCGUAAAUAUGACAGUUUUGGGCGGGUAGGUACUAAUUCGUCCGUUUCGCUAACUCGAGCAGGUACAAAAAAAUUGUUCAGCACGCCACUGCCACGGGGUGUUUCAUGUGAACAGUAAAUCCGUAUAGACGAACGGCUUACGUGUACGAUGCACCUACAUUAGCCAAAAUUAUGUGCAAAGGUCACUAACCCAAAACUUUAUGAAUAGGUAUAAAUAUUUUUCCCGACGGCAAUUGAAUUUCCGUUUAUCUGUUGAAACACUCACAGCUAUACGGCCGUGUUGACGGC